AUAAUCUAUUAUUGCUUUUAUUUCUACAAAUUCAUCUGUUAUUUUCCUACAGUAUUAUUAGUUUGUGUGUGAUUUGACACACUUUGGGCUAUAAAUUUUAUUUAAAUUUAGUGAACAUGUAUUUAUAUAGAAAUGUGACACUGUUCUACACAAUGAAUUUGCAGACUGUAACCCAAUGUGAUUUUAAUGCAGCAUUUCAAUAUUAAAAAUUUCCUGCCUCUGAGCUAGACAGUAUGUAAAAGGAGAAAAUGUAGAAUGAUAGCAACCAUUAAUGAAAUAUUCUUGAAAAUGUCUAAGCUUAUACGAGUAUAAAAAGAUAAUGAAAGAAAACAAUUUAAGAAAAUAUGUAUGCUUGUAUAUAAAAAAAAGUAGAAAAUGUUUCACAAAAAUAAACUCGGAAGUCUAGCAAUUAAUAUGUUAAUAAAUAUUCUCGUUUAUUUCAUACGAUAUUAACAGCUGAAAUAUUUCAACUUUUGCCAACAUGCUAAGUCAGAUGGUGUCUGAUUAGAGAGGCAGACAGUCCUACAUUACAAACAUCACAGUCAAGUGAACCAAUAGAGGCUAUUAGUUUUCAUCUCUAAAGCUUCAACACUCAGGCUACAUUUUACCUAAUGUUUUGAGGCAAGAUACUGACUAAAAUUGGAGAGAGGGAUCUUGUGACAAGUUUUUAUUACAGUUAUUAUUGAUUUCUUUUUCAAUACUGAGAUGAUAGUGACUGUUGUAACAGUGACAACAGUUCAGUUUUGCUAAAUUCUGAGAAGAGGUUCUUUGUUACGAAGCAAGUGAAGAAUACUUAAAAUAAAAUGCCAUCAACUGGCAAACAUGAAAAAAAAAAUAAUAAAUAAUAAAGAUCACGUUUUAGCAAAAUAAUGGAGACUUUUAGUGAUUCUAAAAAUGACAUAUAUAUUUUUUUUAAUGCCAAGAACAAUUGCAGUCUCCCAGUAUUAGGAAAUGGCUUCAAUGAGAAUUAAAUCAGUCAAAGAUUACAUGUCUGUGAUACAAAGGGGUUACAGUUCCCCAAUAAUUUUUGUUUUAUACCAGAAGCAUUCAUACACUUUAUAAAUCACACUGAUUGAAACUGCAGUUAAUAUGACAUACUUCACAUGUAAGAGUACCAAAUCAAUUCUGAUUUAAAUUAAAUGUAAAUAAUGUGGAAGGUAUAUAUUAUUUACAAAAGAUAAUAUUCAAACCAAUAUUAAAUUCUUAUAAUUUACUUAUUGAAUUCAAGGUUGCUCUGUGCUGAUAUUGUUUCAAUGAAGUUGACAUGUAGGUAAUGUAAAAAGAUUUUAAGGUUCUGGAGAUAUUAGGCCACCUUAGCAGUUCAUUAUUUUAAUACUAAAUAUGAUGAAGAAGUAGAUCUAUGAAAAAAAGUUUUGUAUAGCUAACUGACACUUGUAUUAUGUAGCCAGAAUUUCAAAAAGAAUUACCUUUGAUCUCUAUAUUAGUAAAACAGACCUAAUAUUUUCUUUUUUCAGAAUCUCUUUUCCAUGUCACAAAUUAGUUAAUUUAAGAAAGUAUAGUUUGAACUAAUAACUGAAACAUAAAUUAUGCACUCUAAUAAUUUAGGACACUUCAUAAUGAAAUUGAUUAAUAAUAAUUAAUAAUCAACUAAUUAGUUUGUCAAAAAUAUUCAGAAAAGCUGUUAAAGUUAGCUGUUAAAUUGACUCAAUUCUAAAGAAGAAGAAAAUGACAUGAAUAUUUAAAGUCAGAAUAUAUCAAAAUAGCUGCAUGGUUAAUAAAAACAGAAAGUAUUAUCAUAAAUUGUUCUGGUGUUAUUACUAAUCUAUAAAUUUAAUGUAGUUGAGAAUUUGGUGAUAUAUUUCAUAUUUCAGUCAUUUGUAUCUAAAUUCAAAAACAAGUUAAUCUUAAGAAAAUGGAAAAAAAAAAAGCUGAAACAAUUACCAUAAGUUACUUUCACUAAUUAUUUUUGUUACUUUAUUUAGGGAUCUAAGUCAAAUCUAGCUAGCAAUUAAAUAAACUGAAAUUUAUUUUUAAAAAACCACAGUAUACACAUUAUAUAUUGCAUUAGUAAAGGAAAAUAUAUAGUUUAUACCUUACAAUAUAGAAUAUUUUAUGUGAGUUUAACCAAAUAUAACUAGAUGUUCUUAAAGCAGUCUACAAAACUACUCUUAUAGAUAAAUUCAAAAUUAUAAAAUAUUUCCAAUUUGAUUUCAACAGUGAAAUAGAUUAAACCCAAUUUAUUAAAGUAAAUUAUUUUUCAAUAACUCUGUGUGUGUGUGUGUGUGUAUAUAUCUCCAUACAUAUACAUAACUGCUAUAAUUCUGGAAAAGAAGGGUGGCCAAUUUCUGAAGGAUGACAUUUAUAUCUGAAGAGCAAAUAGUUAGCAGUUGCUGGAAAUUUGUGAAUCAAUUAAGAAUUUUAAGUGAUAUAGUUUUAGGGCUAAUAAAAAUUGAGAAUACAAAAAAAGUCCAGAGAAACAGAAACAAAAUAACAGUGUUAAAAAAUGAAAAAAUAAACUUAAGUUGUGUAAACAAAAUGAGGCUACCAAAUUAAAUGAAAUAAUUGUAUUUCUACAAAUAAUCUAAAGUAAUGAUAACUGAAAGAGAUACUUUCCCUGAUAUAAAGUCAGCCAUUAUACUUGGGUGAAAAAUGUAACUUUUAAGGAUGUAAAUGCUAAGAGUUUAUGGAAAUAAGUAUUAAAUAAUUUUGAGACAAUGAAUAUUUUAGGAAAAAUCCUUGAAGAGAAUUCAUCCUGGAUUGUAAAUGUCACUUUAAAGGCAUUUUUUUUUUUCAUGUUGAAAGAAGAAUCGGAAGUGACAGAAAGCAGAUUGUUAAUGGGAAGAGAAUAGCAAAGGAUAAAGAUUUAAAAUGCCAUGUGACUACCAAAAAUUGUUCAAGUACAGAACAGGUGGAUAUCCCCAACACAUGAAGAAAUAAAUGGUUAGAAAUAUAACAUUUAAAAUAUAAAAGAAUUUUUUAAAGGUUUCACUAAAACUAUGAUUAAUAAAUUUAUCUUUACCAAAUUACUGGGGCAUUACAUUGCUUCCAUAAAAUAAAAUGGUAAGUGUUAAAGAAAUUAAGUGAUUUAAGAUAUUUAAAACAAUGCUGAUUAGUACUUACCUUCAUUAUUUAGGAUAAAAGUGGGAAAAAUAGUUGGGUAAUAAUUGAAAGGGUCAGAGUACUAUAUGCCUUGAGUAGCAUGCCACACUACCAAUUGUAUGCAAAAUUUGAGAUAGAUUUCCCUUGAAGAAAGGAAAUUUCAAAAGUUCAGAGUAAAGCGAUACCAUAAGUAUGUAACCCGGCACCUGACUAUUAUGAAAAUUCACAAAUUCAAGCUCUUGUGAGAAUAUUGUAAACUACCUACCCACAAGCAUAAUUCAGUUGUAAGGCUGAAUAGUUAAUUUUUUAGAAUAUUUAACUAUAAAAAAUGUUAGCUAUAUAUUUCACAACUAAAAUUGUUGGAAAAUUUAUCUUGUACCAGCAUAGAAAAUCUAAUGUAAAUCAUUAAAAAAUAUAUUCAGAGGUAAUCUCUUCAAGCCAGAAUAGUUGAUGGUAAUGACUAGAAUCCAUUGAGGAUUACAGUAUUUGAACAUGGGACAGUAGUGGUAUAUGUUCAUUUGUUGGUAUUUGAAGGAAUACUUUUUUAUGUACAAAAUUAUGAAGAACUGGAAUGUAUUAAAAGAAGUUGAGUUUCUAGUAAGAAAGAGAAGUCAGUAAUGACACUAUAUAACAAAACAAUAGAAAUUUAAGUUAAAAAUAAAAGUAACAUUUGUGAGCCUUACACAACAAUCUCUUGUCUUUGGGACAAACAUAUUAAGUGAUUAAAUUCAUCACUACAUGAUUAUAUUGUUAAAACAAAGCAAAUACUAAAAUUCAAUUUAAAUUAUUUAAGCUUUGCAAGCACAUUUCUACAAAAAGCAAUUAAUAUAUUUUUUUUGCAUUUAAUAAAGAUCAUUUAAAUAACUACAAUUUUUUUUAUUUAUUUCUUCUACUCAAAGGAAACAUGAAGGCUCCACUUUUGAUAACUGCAGUCAACAGGUAUACCAAACUUUUAUCUCCAAUAAAACUUCUAGUACUCAUUUUAUCCACAGGAAAAUAAAGCUGCAUUCACUGCAGUGGAGAUUUAAACACAGAAACAAGAAAAAAAAAACUACAGAGUAUUCACCUUAAGGCUCUUGUCUCUACAACAAAUUUAUAUCUUACCAUCUACAAUAGACCAAGAAUUAAAGUUAAGCUGAGGGCAGUGUCAGCAAUAGCACUGAGUGAGACAACAACUGCAUUUAUUUAUAAAUUUGAAACCAUUACAAAGUUGCAUUUCCUUUAGUACUCAACAUCCCUUCCAAACUGCAUCCCUAAAGGAACACAACAGUAGUAGCACAUAUAUCCCUUUCUUAAUAGAUAAUGAUAAGCAACAUUAUAUUGAAUGAAGAUAGUAUAGCAUUAUUGUUAUCAUUAUGGAUUUUUGUUCUAAUCCUUCUUAAUGUGAAGUUGUAAAUAAAUGUAUAGAAUGUAUCAAAAACAAGAACCGGGUGUUUUUAAAAUAAAAAUAUCUUCUUGGUUACAAACAACCAAUUAAUUUGAAAGAAACAUGGAAGAUUUAAAGUUUCCAUCUUAAAUUUAAGAGAAAGCUCUACAGAAAAAAAUGGUCUUGCCACUGAGCCCCAGUAUAAUUACUGCUACAUAUUUUAUCAAUAUGUAUGAGAUCGAAGGUAAAUUUAUUUCUUAUGGGAUUGAACUAAGAAGAAAUAUAAAACAAUCAGUUAAAUAUCACAUCCUAAAGAAUGUAAUCAGGCUCAUUGCACAAACUCCAUUGCCCAAGAAGUUAAAUAAUGUAAUGCUUUUUAAAAAGAACUUUUUAAAUAAUAACUAAGUUUACAUAAACAAAGAAAGCAUCAAUAAAUUUAAAAGAAUUCUGUGAAAACCUCCAUCUAUAAAGAAUUAACCAAAUUUGGUAGCAAUUUGCUAUUAAAAUACUUAUACCUGUAUCUGACUUUUGUUGAAGUGGUGUGUACAAAGUUUUAACAGCAUCAAAGAAAAACAUUUUACUCUCAUUUGUAAGUUUGAUGUUUAGCAGACCUUUAUUUUUUAAAGGAUUUAAAAAAAAAAAAAGACAUAAAACUCCAAUUUAAGACUGAAUUCAUUAUUCUAAUGAAAUCCCAUAAUACCCUGAUCUCUUUCUACCCAAAAUAAUUUCAAAAUUUUGCCUUUUAAGUUUUCUUCUGUAAAGAAAAUUA
rnacentral:lncRNA from 1 species